rnacentral:rRNA from 1 species
AGUGAACGCUGGCGGUAGGCCUAACACAUGCAAGUCGAACGGCAGCACAGUAAGAGCUUGCUCUUACGGGUGGCGAGUGGCGGACGGGUGAGGAAUACAUCGGAAUCUACUUUUUCGUGGGGGAUAACGUAGGGAAACUUACGCUAAUACCGCAUACGACCUACGGGUGAAAGCAGGGGAUCUUCGGACCUUGCGCGAUUGAAUGAGCCGAUGUCGGAUUAGCUAGUUGGCGGGGUAAAGGCCCACCAAGGCGACGAUCCGUAGCUGGUCUGAGGGGAUGAUCAGCCACACUGGAACUGAGACACGGUCCAGACUCCUACGGGAGGCAGCAGUGGGGAAUAUUGGACAAUGGGCGCAGGCCUGAUCCAGCCAUACCGCGUGGGUGAAGAAGGCCUUCGGGUUGUAAAGCCCUUUUGUUGGGAAAGAAAAGCAGCAGGUUAAUACCCCGCUGUUCUGACGGUACCCAAAGAAUAAGCACCGGCUAACUUCGUG